rnacentral:misc_RNA from 1 species
GCCAUAGUUAGGGCAGUCAAACCAACUCUCAUACGAGCUCCCGGCGGUUCGUUCAUCUGACCAUAGACUAGAGCCACUUUUGAUUCUGCAAUAUUUUCUUCAUUAAUUACUCCAGAUUCUUUCAUUUCCAUGUAAAGAUCAUUUCCUUCACGAGUACGUUCGCCUACUCCGCCAAAUACGGAUACACCCCCAUGAGCUUUCGCAAUGUUAUUGAUUAAUUCCAUAAUAAGUACUGUUUUACCCACUCCAGCUCCCCCGAAUAGUCCGAUUUUUCCUCCACGGCGAUAAGGGGCUAAAAGAUCUACUACUUUUAUUCCUGUUUCAAAAAUAGAUAAUUUUGUAUCUAACUGUAUAAAGGCAGGCGCAGAUCUAUGAAUAGGGGAUGUUGCGCGAGUAUCUACAGGACCUAAAUCGUCAACAGGUUCUCCAAGCACGUUGAAAAUUCGUCCUAGAGUUGCCCCACCGACUGGAACACUUAGAGGGGCUCCUGUGUCAAUCACUUCCAUUCCUCUCGUUAGACCAUCUGUAGCACUCAUAGCUACAGCGCGAACUCGAUUAUUUCCUAAUAAUUGUUGUACUUCACAAGUCACAUUAAUUUCUUGACCGGCAGUAUCUCGACCCUUAACUACCAGAGCGUUGUAAAUAUUAGGCAUCUUGCCCGGGGGAAAAGCUACAUCUAGCACUGGCCCAAUAAUUUGAGCGAUACGCCCCAGGUUCUUUUUUUCAAGCGCGGAAACUCCCGGACCAGAAGUAGUAGGAUUUAUUCUCAUAAUAAUAAAAAUAAUAAAUAAAAAUAAAAAAUAUGUCGAAAUUUUUUUUUUUUUUUAGUCCAAAAAUAAAUGUUCGACGACAAGUUGAU